rnacentral:rRNA from 1 species
GACGAACGCUGGCGGUGUGCUUCACACAUGCAAGUCGAACGAGGUAGCAAUACCUAGUGGCGGACGGGUGAGUAACGCGUGGGAAUCUGCCUUUAGAUGGGGGAUAACGGGUCGAAAGACUCGCUAAUACCGCAUAUGACGAAAGUUGAAAGGAGUAAUCCGUCUAAAGAUGAGCCCGCGUCCGAUUAGCUAGUUGGUAGAGUAAAAGCCUACCAAGGCGACGAUCGGUAGCUGGUCUGAGAGGAUGAUCAGCCACAAUGGGACUGAGACACGGCCCAUACUCCUACGGGAGGCAGCAGUGGGGAAUUUUACGCAAUGGGCGAAAGCCUGACGUAGCGACACCGCGUGAGCGAAGAAGCCCCUUGGGGUGUAAAGCUCUGUCAGCUGGAACGAAAAAAAUGACGGUACCAGCAGAGGAAGCAUCGGCUAACUACGUG